rnacentral:rRNA from 1 species
UCGUACGGCAGCAUGAGACUUCGGUCUUGAUGGCGAGUGGCGCACGGGUGAGUAACGCGUACACAAUCUGCCCAUAAAUCGGGGAUAGUCACUGGAAACGGUGAAUAAUACCGGAUGUGGUUGAGAAGUUGCAUGACUUUUUGACUAAAGGUUAAACUGUUUAUGGAUGAGUGUGCGUUCUAUUAGUUAGUUGGUGAGGUAACGGCUCACCAAGACGAUGAUAGAUAGGGGGCGUGAGAGCGUGGUCCCCCACACGGGUACUGAGACACGGACCCGACUCCUACGGGAGGCAGCAGUAAGGAAUAUUGGACAAUGGAGGGAACUCUGAUCCAGCCAUCCCGCGUGUAGGAAGACGGCCCUAUGGGUUGUAAACUACUUUUAUGAGGGAAGAACGGCAUCUAUUAAUAGGUGUGUGACGGUACCUCAGGAAUAAGCACCGGCUAACUCCGUGCCAGCAGCCGCGGUAAUACGGAGGGUGCAAGCGUUAUCCGGAAUCACUGGGUUUAAAGGGUGCGUAGGCGGCUAUGUCAGUCAGAGGUGAAAGGUUGCAGCUUAACUGUGAGAGGGCCUUUGAUACUGCAUAGCUUGAAUCAGAUAGAGGUUAGUGG